rnacentral:rRNA from 1 species
UACGGAGGAUGCGAGCGUUAUCCGGAUUUAUUGGGUUUAAAGGGUGCGUAGGCGGCUUUUUAAGUCAGCGGUGAAAUUUUGCAGCUUAACUGUAAAAGUGCCGUUGAUACUGUGAGGCUAGGAUUUGGUUGCUGUGGGUGGAAUGUGUGGUGUAGCGGUGAAAUGCUUAGAGAUCACACAGAAUAUCGAUUGCGAAGGCAGCUCACAAAGCCAAGAUUGACGCUGAGGCACGAAAGUGUGGGGAUCAAACAGGAUUA